GUCUAUCAAAAGAAGAUUCAUCAGAAGGAAAGAAAUCAGCUAGAAGUACAGGGCGAAGAUCUGACUCCACUACAACAAGUGGCACUGAAAACAAAGAUGGAGUUGAAGUACCACAAGCAAGUGAUGCUAAGGAAAGUGAUGGACUUACACAGGGUAAC